rnacentral:rRNA from 1 species
UACGAGGGGGGCGAGCGUUGUUCGGAAUUAUUGGGCGUAAAGGGCGCGUAGGCGGUGCGGUAAGUCACCUGUGAAACCUCUGGGCUUAACUCCGAAACUGCAUUCGAUACUGCCGUGCUUGAGGACUGGAGAGGAGACUGGAAUUUACGGGUAGCGGUGAAAUGCGUAGAUAUCGUAAGGAAGACCAGUGGCGAAGGCGGGUCUCUGGACAGUUCCUGACGCUGAGGCACGAAGGUCAGGGGAGCAAACGGG